rnacentral:rRNA from 1 species
AACGGCCGUACCAUGCUGAAUAUACCGGUUCUCGUUAGAUCACCGAAGUCAAGCAUCAUUGGGCGCGGUCAGUACUUGGGUGGGUGACCACCUGGGAACAUUGCGAGCCGUU